rnacentral:rRNA from 1 species
AUUGAACGCUGGCGGCAUGCCUUACACAUGCAAGUCGAACGGUAACGCGGGGCAACCUGGCGACGAGUGGCGAACGGGUGAGUAAUGCAUCGGAACGUGCCCGGUAGUGGGGGAUAACUGCUCGAAAGAGCAGCUAAUACCGCAUACGACCUGAGGGUGAAAGGGGGGGAUCGCAAGACCUCUCGCUAUCGGAGCGGCCGAUGUCGGACUAGCUAGUUGGUGGGGUAAAGGCCUACCAAGGCGACGAUCCGUAGCUGGUCUGAGAGGACGACCAGCCACACUGGGACUGAGACACGGCCCAGACUCCUACGGGAGGCAGCAGUGGGGAAUUUUGGACAAUGGACGCAAGUCUGAUCCAGCCAUGCCGCGUGCGGGAAGAAGGCCUUCGGGUUGUAAACCGCUUUUGUCAGGGAAGAAAUCUUCUGAGUUAAUACCUCGGGAGGAUGACGGUACCUGAAGAAUAAGCACCGGCUAACUACGUGCCAGCAGCCGCCGUAAGAC